GCAGUCGACGGUAACAGGAAACAGCUUGCUGUUUCGCUGACGAGUGGCGGACGGGUGAGUAAUGUCUGGGAAACUGCCUGAUGGAGGGGGAUAACUACUGGAAACGGUAGCUAAUACCGCAUAACGUCGCAAGACCAAAGAGGGGGACCUUCGGGCCUCUUGCCAUCGGAUGUGCCCAGAUGGGAUUAGCUAGUAGGUGGGGUAACGGCUCACCUAGGCGACGAUCCCUAGCUGGUCUGAGAGGAUGACCAGCCACACUGGAACUGAGACACGGUCCAGACUCCUACGGGAGGCAGCAGUGGGGAAUAUUGCACAAUGGGCGCAAGCCUGAUGCAGCCAUGCCGCGUGUAUGAAGAAGGCCUUCGGGUUGUAAAGUACUUUCAGCGGGGAGGAAGGGAGUAAAGUUAAUACCUUUGCUCAUUGACGUUACCCGCAGAAGAAGCACCGGCUAACUCCGUGCCAGCAGCCGCGGUAAUACGGAGGGUGCAAGCGUUAAUCGGAAUUACUGGGCGUAAAGCGCACGCAGGCGGUUUGUUAAGUCAGAUGUGAAAUCCCCGGGCUCAACCUGGGAACUGCAUCUGAUACUGGCAAGCUUGAGUCUCGUAGAGGGGGGUAGAAUUCCAGGUGUAGCGGUGAAAUGCGUAGAGAUCUGGAGGAAUACCGGUGGCGAAGGCGGCCCCCUGGACGAAGACUGACGCUC
rnacentral:rRNA from 1 species